AGUGAACGCUGGCGGUAGGCCUAACACAUGCAAGUCGAACGGCAGCACAGUAAGAGCUUGCUCUUACGGGUGGCGAGUGGCGGACGGGUGAGGAAUACAUCGGAAUCUACUUUUUCGUGGGGGAUAACGUAGGGAAACUUACGCUAAUACCGCAUACGACCUACGGGUUAAAGCAGGGGAUCUUCGGACCUUGCGCGAUUGAAUGAGCCGAUGUCGGAUUAGCUAGUUGGCGGGGUAAAGGCCCACCAAGGCGACGAACCGUAGCUGGUCUGAGAGGAUGAUCAGCCACACUGGAACUGAGACACGGUCCAGACUCCUACGGGAGGCAGCAGUGGGGAAUAUUGGACAAUGGGCGCAAGCCUGAUCCAGCCAUACCGCGUGGGUGAAGAAGGCCUUCGGGCUGUAAAGCCCUUUUGUUGGGAAAGAAAAGCAGCAGGUUAAUACCCCGCUGUUCUGACGGUACCCAAAGAAUAAGCACCGGCUAACUUCGUG
rnacentral:rRNA from 1 species